rnacentral:rRNA from 1 species
GGUGGUAAUGCCGGAUGUUCCACAUGAUCGCAUGUGAUUGUGGGAAAGAUUCUAUCGGCGUGGGAUGGGGUCGCGUCCUAUCAGCUUGUUGGUGAGGUAACGGCUCACCAAGGCUUCGACGGGUAGCCGGCCUGAGAGGGCGACCGGCCACAUUGGGACUGAGAUACGGCCCAGACUCCUACGGGAGGCAGCAGUGGGGAAUAUUGCACAAUGGGCGCAAGCCUGAUGCAGCGACGCCGCGUGAGGGAUGGAGGCCUUCGGGUUGUAAACCUCUUUUGUUUGGGAGCAAGCCUUCGGGUGAGUGUACCUUUCGAAUAAGCGCCGGCUAACUACGUGCCAGCAGCCGCGGUAAUACGUAGGGCGCAAGCGUUAUCCGGAUUUAUUGGGCGUAAAGGGCUCGUAGGCGGCUCGUCGCGUCCGGUGUGAAAGUCCAUCGCUUAACGGUGGAUCUGCGCCGGGUACGGGCGGGCUGGAGUGCGGUAGGGGAGACUGGAAUUCCCGGUGUAACGGUGGAAUGUGUAGAUAUCGGAAAGAAACACCA